CGGGACGGGUGAGUAACGCGUGGGUAACCUGCCUCAUACAGGGGAAUAACAGUUAGAAAUGACUGCUAAUACCGCAUAAGCGCACGAGAUCGCAUGAUAAAGUGUGAAAAACUCCGGUGGUAUGAGAUGGACCCGCGUCUGAUUAGCUGGUUGGUGGGGUAACGGCCCACCAAGGCGACGAUCAGUAGCCGACCUGAGAGGGUGACCGGCCACAUUGGGACUGAGACACGGCCCAAACUCCUACGGGAGGCAGCAG
rnacentral:rRNA from 1 species